GCGAAUGGUGGAUGCCUUGACUGGUAAAGGCGAUGAAGGACGUACUAGACUGCGAUAAGCUACGGGGAGCUGUCAAGAAGCUUUGAUCCGUAGAUUUCCGAAUGGGGCAACCCAAUGUAUAGAGAUAUACAUUACCUAUAUAGGAGCGAACGAGGGGAAUUGAAACAUCUUAGUACCCUCAGGAAAAGAAAUCAAUAGAGAUUGCGUCAGUAGCGGCGAGCGAAAGCGCAAGAGGGCAAACCCAGUGCUUGCACUGGGGGUUGUAGGACUGCAAUGUGCAAGAGCUGAGUUUAGCAGAACAUUCUGGAAAGUAUAGCCAUAGAGGGUGAUAGUCCCGUAUGCGAAAAACAAAGCUUAGCUAGCAGUAUCCUGAGUAGGGCGGGACACGAGGAAUCCUGUCUGAAUCCGGGUCGACCACGAUCCAACCCUAAAUACUAAUACCAGAUCGAUAGUGCACAAGUACCGUGAGGGAAAGGUGAAAAGAACUGAGGUGAUCAGAGUGAAAUAGAACCUGAAACCAUUUGCUUACAAUCAUUCAGAGCACUAUGUAGCAAUACAGUGUGAUGGACUGCCUUUUGCAUAAUGAGCCUGCGAGUUGUGGUGUCUGGCAAGGUUAAGCAAACGCGAAGCCGUAGCGAAAGCGAGUCUGAAUAGGGCGCUUAGUCAGAUGCUGCAGACCCGAAACGAAGUGAUCUAUCCAUGAGCAAGUUGAAGCUAGUGUAAGAACUAGUGGAGGACUGAACCCAUAGGCGUUGAAAAGCCCCGGGAUGACUUGUGGAUAGGGGUGAAAGGCCAAUCAAACUUCGUGAUAGCUGGUUCUCUCCGAAAUAUAUUUAGGUAUAGCGUUGUGUCGUAAUAUAAGGGGGUAGAGCACUGAAUGGGCUAGGGCAUACACCAAUGUACCAAACCCUAUCAAACUCCGAAUACCUUAUAUGUAAUCACAGCAGUCAGGCGGCGAGUGAUAAAAUCCGUCGUCAAGAGGGAAACAACCCAGACUACCAGCUAAGGUCCCUAAAUCUUACUUAAGUGGAAAACGAUGUGAAGUUACUUAAACAACCAGGAGGUUGGCUUAGAAGCAGCCAUCCUUUAAAGAAAGCGUAAUAGCUCACUGGUCUAGUGAUUUUGCGCGGAAAAUAUAACGGGGCUAAAGUAAGUACCGAAGCUGUAGACUUGCGCACAACUUAGAUUAUUUAAGUUUAGAAUAUGAGAAACUAAGUUAUAUUU
rnacentral:rRNA from 1 species